rnacentral:rRNA from 1 species
UACGAAGGGGGCUAGCGUUGUUCGGAGUACUGGGCGUAAAGCGUGCGCAGGCGGUUAUGUAAGACAGAUGUGAAAUCCCCGGGCUCAACCUGGGAACUGCAUUUGUGACUGCAUAGCUAGAGUACGGUAGAGGGGGAUGGAAUUCCGCGUGUAGCAGUGAAAUGCGUAGAUAUGCGGAGGAACACCGAUGGCGAAGGCAAUCCCCUGGACCUGUACUGACGCUCAUGCACGAAAGGCGUGGGGAGCAA